ensembl:snRNA U6 U6 spliceosomal RNA
GGGCUUGCUUCGGCAGCACAUGUACUAAAAUUGGAAUGAUACAGAGAAGAUUAACAUGGCCUCUGUGCAAGGAUGACAUGCAAAUUCAUGAGGCAUUCCAUACUUUU